rnacentral:rRNA from 1 species
GACGAACGCUGGCGGCGUGCCUAAUACAUGCAAGUUGAGCGCUGAAGGUUGGUACUUGUACCAACUGGAUGAGCAGCGAACGGGUGAGUAACGCGUGGGGAAUCUGCCUUUGAGCGGGGGACAACAUCUGGAAACGAAUGCUAAUACCGCAUAAAAACUUUAAACACAAGUUUUAAGUUUGAAAGAUGCAAUUGCAUCACUCAAAGAUGAUCCCGCGUUGUAUUAGCUAGUUGGUGAGGUAAAGGCUCACCAAGGCGAUGAUACAUAGCCGACCUGAGAGGGUGAUCGGCCACCUUGGGACUGGGACACGGCCCAAAAUCCUACGGGAGGCAGCAGUAGGGAAUCUUCGGCAAUAGAGGAAAGUCUGACCGAGCAAAGGCGCGUGAGGUAAGAAGGUUUUCGGAUCGUAAAAAUCUGUUGGUAGAGGAGAACGUUGGUGAGAGGGGAAAGCUCAUCAAGUGACGGUAACUACCCAGAAAGGGACGGCUAACUACGUG